GACGAACGCUGGCGGCGUGCUUGACACAUGCAAGUCGAACGGAAAGGCCUCUUUCGGGGGGUACUCGAGUGGCGAACGGGUGAGUAACACGUGAGUAACCUGCCCUUGACUUUGGGAUAACUUCAGGAAACUGGGGCUAAUACCGGAUAGGAGCUCCUGCUGCAUGGUGGGGGUUGGAAAGUUUCGGCGGUUGGGGCUGGACUCGCGGCUUAUCAGCUUGUUGGUGGGGUAGUGGCUUACCAAGGCUUUGACGGGUAGCCGGCCUAAGCGGGUGACCGGCCACAUUGGGACUGAGAUACGGCCCAGACUCGUACGGGAGGCAGCAGUGGGGAAUAUUGCACAAUGGGUGGAAGCCUGAUGCAGCAACGCCGGGUGCGGGAUGACGGCCUGCGGGUUGUAAACCGCUUUCGCUCAUGACGAAGCUUUGUGUGACGGUAGUGGGUAAAGAAGCACCGGCUAACUACGUG
rnacentral:rRNA from 1 species